AGUUUGAUCCUGGCUCAGGACGAACGCUGGCGGCGUGCUUAACACAUGCAAGUCGAACGAUGAAGCCCAGCUUGCUGGGUGGAUUAGUGGCGAACGGGUGAGUAACACGUGAGUAACCUGCCCUUGACUCUGGGAUAAGCGCUGGAAACGGCGUCUAAUACCGGAUAUGACAACCGACGGCAUCGUCUGGUUGUGGAAAGAAUUUUGGUCAAGGAUGGACUCGCGGCCUAUCAGCUUGUUGGUGAGGUAAUGGCUCACCAAGGCGACGACGGGUAGCCGGCCUGAGAGGGUGACCGGCCACACUGGGACUGAGACACGGCCCAGACUCCUACGGGAGGCAGCAGUGGGGAAUAUUGCACAAUGGGCGAAAGCCUGAUGCAGCAACGCCGCGUGAGGGACGACGGCCUUCGGGUUGUAAACCUCUUUUAGCAGGGAAGAAGCGAAAGUG
rnacentral:rRNA from 1 species